ACAACCUACAUAUGCAUAUUACUAUUAUAUAACCCAAAGAACAAGAAGAAAUAAAUAAAUAAAAUAAAGUAUAUAUAAAUUAUAUGUAUAAUAUAUAUAAUUUAUAUAUAAUAUAUAAAUUGUAUAUAUUAUAUAACAAUAAUUAAUAAUAAUAACAACAGAGACAAUCAUAAAUUAAUAAGAAGAAGAACACUAAAUAAAAUGAAUAAAUGUAUUUAAGAAGUAUAUUAUAGUGAACAGUAGGGGGAGCUCAGAGUGCAUGCUGGGAGUUGGAGUCUGACGCAGCAGCAGGCCGACAGUGUAAAGGUCAGAUUGACUCAUCGGUUGAUUAUUAAACGUUCAGAAAGAAAGACCCCAGUAUGGAGCAACAGAGGUCGAAGGUUGGAGGUCAGCUCAUGGUGCACACUGCUGCUCCUGGCAGCUCCAUUAAUGAGUCCACAGUUGAGAUCGUACCUACGGUUCAUCCUGUUGCAUGUUGGGAUGGUGAUGGUUGUUCCAGGUAUUAGUCAGACCCUAACAGAGGGAACUGGUCUGCUCUGAAGAAAGUGGUACUGGUCCAAGUUCACAACAGCGACAUCAUUAGAAACUCAGGCAAAGUGGUGUGAAGGCUUUUAUUUUGAAACUGUGUAUACGCCCGUUUCCUGUACAGUUUUAUUUUCUUUAUUUAUUUAUAUUUUAAAAGUUCUUUACUUUAUUCACCAAGAUUAAUUCCUCGUAACCGACCCCGAAAUAAUUCACUGGUUCUGUUCACUGGUUCUGCUCACUGGUUGUUUUUACUGGUUCUGCUCACCGGUUCUGCUCACUGGUUCUGUUCACUGGUUGUUUUUACUGGUUCUGUUUACUGGUUCUGCUCACUGGUUGUUUUUACUGGUUCUGCUCACUGGUUGUUUUUACUGGUUCUGCUCACUGGUUGUUUUUGCUGGUUCUGCUCACUGGUUCUGCUCACUGGUUGUUUUUACUGGUUCUGCUCACCGGUUCUGCUCACUGGUUCUGUUCACUGGUUGUUUUUACUGGUUCUGUUUACUGGUU
rnacentral:lncRNA from 15 species